UCUCUGUUACAGCUGGGCCCUGACCGAGGUCUCUGUUACAGCUGGGCCCUGACCAAGGUCUCUGUUACAGCUGGGCCCUGACCAAGGUCUCUGUUACAGCUGGGCCCUGACCAAGGUCUCUGUUACAGCUGGGCCCUGACCGAGGUCUCUGUUACAGCUGGGCCCUGACCAAGGUCUCUGUUACAGCUGGGCCCUGACCAAGGUCUCUGUUACAGCUGGGCCCUGACCAAGGUCUCUGUUACAGCUGGGCCCUGCGUAUACAUGUUUACACGUACAGUUUAGGUACAAUGAUU